rnacentral:rRNA from 1 species
UACGGAGGGUGCAAGCGUUAUCCGGAUUCACUGGGCUUAAAGGGUGCGUAGGCGGGCAGGUAAGUCAGUGGUGAAAUCUCCGGGCUUAACCCGGAAACUGCCGUUGAUACUAUCUGUCUUGAAUAUCGUGGAGGUAAGCGGAAUAUGUCAUGUAGCGGUGAAAUGCUUAGAUAUGACAUAGAACACCCAUUGCGAAGGCAGCUUACUACACGAUCAUUGACGCUGAGGCACGAAAGCGUGGGGAGCAAACAGG